ensembl:lincRNA Gm4890 predicted gene 4890
GUUCCCCACCUGGAAUGCGUCCUGGCUUCGGCUGGCCCGGCCCAACCCUCAGCGGCCGCGGUGCCCAGGCCCACUCCUUCCGCGCCUGGAAACGUGAGACGGGUCACUGAGGACGACGUAGGCAAACUUUGCAGAGCACGUUGCCACCUGUUGGAGUAGCCGCUCCAGCCCCAGUCGAAAUGCACGGCCGAACAAUGGCAGUUCUGAGUGGCUCAGGGGCCCACACUUUCUUUAAAACCGAUGCACUCGUAGUAAUAUUUCUUAUGCCCCACAUCCAGAGGCCUGUGCUCACCACCUCAGCAGUGCCCCGGGGAGGUUCGCCAGGCGUGGGCAGGCUCUCCCUUGAAAGCACCUGACCUGGUUCUACCUUGCACUGGGGCUGAAUGGGAAUUACAUGGGAAUCUCUUAUUGUAAUGCAUGAACAGAUUUCACAAGAAAAGGGAACAGGACUGGACCGCUGGCUGUUCCUUCUUUGAUCCCAGGCAUGAUUUCAGCUUGUAGAAUAAAUGAGAAAUGCCUGUUGGUUUAAUUAAAAGAACCGCAUUGGCUGUGCUAGCCUGCCUGCCUUCUGGUGCCCAAGCAAGUGUACUGAUAAAGGAAUCAAAAGCUGCACACUCAAUUGUCCCAGGGUUUUCUCAUCUAUCUUGACAGCUUUUGAGAAUAUAAGUCAAUUUCUCAAAAGCGGUUUAUUGUAAGCCUUGAAAUAUCCAGUUUCCUACCUGGUACCUUAAAUCAUUACUUUUUCCGUAGGGAUAACUGGUGAACUAUCUCCAAAAUAUAUCCUUCUUGUCCGUUGACUCAGAUAGCUCAUUGGGAAGAAGCCAGCUGUCUCCUCUGGGAUGCUGGCUGGCCUUUGAGGUGGGCCCUGGAGCUACUGCCUGGGGAUCAAUGUACUACCACAACACAGACUAAAUUCCUGGUCCCUUGGGAUAUACCUCCAGUGUAAGACCUCCAGGAAGGACUCCUGCUAGGCCCAAUCACAGAGACUAGUAGGUGUGGUCAGAAAGCCCGGGGCACAGCCUGAUUGGUCAUUGUACAGGCGCGUUACCACUAAGGCUGAGCUUUAGGAGAAGAGCAAGACAAUAUCAAUGGCUAGUGGGGUUCACAUGAAGGCAAGACAUGGACAGCUGCUCCUUCAUCCGUGUUUUUAUCCCCAAGGAACAGCUUUGUGAAAGUGCUCUGUGCUCUCAAGCUGUUGCCAGCAGGGUCUGUCUCUUCAGCGUGGCUUUUAAGAGGAAAGUGCAGCAAACUGGAGCCUUAGCAAAAGGCUGCUCGCUAGCAUGAGAAGCAUUUGAUUCCAGCUUGGAAACAAGGGGUGGGGCAAAGCCUUUUUACCACCUCCACCCCAUCUCUCCCUCUCUCCCUUUCAGAAAGGCAGAUUUAUCUAGUGGUGCAUCCCUUGCCUUCAUGUCAGAGUGUCAGCUUUGUCAUAUUCCUGACUGUUGUUACUAGAAUUUUUUUAAGAUUUAUUUAUUUUAAGAUGUAUUUAUAGAUACUUUUUGCCUGCACACAUAUCUCUGUGGGGGUGCUCUGGAACUAGAGUAUGUGGGUUGUGGGAAUUGAACCCCAGUCCUCUGGAGGAGCAGCCAGUGUUCUUAAUCACUGAGCCAUCUCUCCAGUCCCAAUUACUGGAAUUUCAUAUGAAAGCAAAACCACGGCAUAAAUCUUAGCAAAUUUGAAUUCCAUACUUUUUACCUUUUUCCAUUCACCAGAGAUGAGAUGCAGGUAUAUUCACGUUAAAACAAAAAUGCAAACAAGUCAGAUAAUUAAAAGGAAAUCCAGAUGAUGCUCUCAAACCUGAAGAAACACUUGUGGAGCCAGAUGGAAGCAGAGUAGAGUUGGACUCUGUCACCAUCCCAAGGGAACGAAGCAUCAUGGGCUCUGAUUUGUUCACUUGUUUCUUUAUGUGCGUAUGUACAGGAAUGUAUACUUGUGCUUGCAUGGAAGUCAGAAGAGAGCAUCCUGUCUCCCUCUCCAUCACUGUCUUCUUCCUCUGAGCCAGGGUCUGUCCCUCAACCCAAGGCUCUUGGUCUUCUUGGUUAGGCUAGAAGGCAGCAAGUCCCAGCAAUCCCCCAGUCUCCGGCCCCUUAAUGGAUCAGUCUGGGGGUGUAGAGUGUCUGUGGGAUCCAAACUUGAGAUCGUAGCAAGCGAUCUUAACUGUUGAGCCCUCUUUCCAACUGCUCCCUGUCUUGACAGCAAGAAAAAUCCCAACAUAUACUCUGAGGUCAUGUUGGAACCAUGUGUUUGGAGACAGCAGAGGUUUGGGACAAUCUUUCCAAUCAGGAUGACUCACAGCUGUGAUCAGGGCUUUCUCUUUUAUCAGCUAUACUAUCAGAAAAGAAGACCCUUGUGAGCACAGUGUCUGCCUCAAGCUCUUCAUCUUUUCCACUGUUACAAAAUCUCUGGGGGAGGAUUACACACAGGAUCAUGAGUCCUGUGUAUGAAAUUAUGAUGACUUAUGAAUGAUUACAUUCAUCACAAUUACUGUGAAUAAAAAAUGUUAUGUUUU